rnacentral:rRNA from 1 species
GACGAACGCUGGCGGCGUGCUUAACACAUGCAAGUCGAACGGAAAGGCUCCUGCUUGCAGGGGUACUCGAGUGGCGAACGGGUGAGUAACACGUGGGUGAUCUGCCUUGUACUCUGGGAUAAGCUUGGGAAACUGGGUCUAAUACCGGAUAAUAACUGCCUUUAGUGUGGUGGUUGGAAAGUUUUUUCGGUGCAAGAUGAGCUCGCGGCCUAUCAGCUUGUUGGUGGGGUAAUGGCCUACCAAGGCGUCGACGGGUAGCCGGCCUGAGAGGGUGUACGGCCACAUUGGGACUGAGAUACGGCCCAGACUCCUACGGGAGGCAGCAGUGGGGAAUAUUGCACAAUGGGCGGAAGCCUGAUGCAGCGACGCCGCGUGGGGGAUGACGGCCUUCGGGUUGUAAACUCAUUUCGACAGGGACGAAGCUUUUUGUGACGGUACCUGUAUAAGAAGCACCGGCUAACUACGUG